rnacentral:rRNA from 1 species
GACGAACGCUGGCGGCGUGCCUAAUACAUGCAAGUUGAGCGCUGAAGGUUGGUACUUGUACCGACUGGAUGAGCAGCGAACGGGUGAGUAACGCGUGGGGAAUCUGCCUUUGAGCGGGGGACAACAUUUGGAAACGAAUGCUAAUACCGCAUAAAAACUUUAAACACAAGUUUUAAGUUUGAAAGAUGCAAAUGCAUCACUCAAAGAUGAUCCCGCGUUGUAUUAGCUAGUUGGUGAGGUAAAGGCUCACCAAGGCGAUGAUACAUAGCCGACCUGAGAGGGUGAUCGGCCACAUUGGGACUGAGACACGGCCCCAACUCCUACGGGAGGCAGCAGUAGGGAAUUUUUGGCAAUGGACGAAAGUUUGACCGAGCAACGCCGCGUGAGUGAAGAAGGUUUUCGGAUCGUAAAACUCUGUUGGUAGAGAAGAACGUUGGUGAGAGUGGAAAGCUCAUCAAGUGACGGUAAC